UUUAAUAUCACUGAAAUGUAUAUAACAAGUGGGUCUCGAAGUCUGUGUGCUUUGGAUGAGUGCAGUCAGUGUGAAAAAUCACUUAAAAAUUACAGAAUUAUUACAGGAUCUCUCAGUUCACUGCUUUUAUUCAGUGUCGUUGUAUUUCUUAUUAUAGUCAUUUGGUUCUGUUGUAGAAAGAAAUGCUGCUGUUGCUGCAGAAAAGAUUAUGCAAAUCUUCCUGAUCAUCAUGUUAGAUAUCGAGUAGAUGGUGACAGAAAUGAUGAUUGAGAUGUGAAUUUUCUCUCUAUAUUUAAUUAAAUAAUUUUUUACCCGUGAUAUAUAUGAAAUUGAUUUAAUUAUACUAGAUUUAUUUUGUAUUACUUUUAUAAAACACUGUUAUUUGUAUUAGUUUAAUUGAACACUGUA